GGACCCGCACAAGCGGUGGAUGAUGUGGUUUAAUUCGAUGCAACGCGAAAAACCUUACCUACCCUUGACAUGCCUGGAAUCCUGCAGAGAUGUGGGAGUGCUCGAAAGAGAGCCAGGACACAGGUGCUGCAUGGCCGUCGUCAGCUCGUGUCGUGAGAUGUUGGGUUAAGUCCCGCAACGAGCGCAACCCUUAUCAUUAGUUGCUACGCAAGGGCACUCUAAUGAGACUGCCGGUGACAAACCGGAGGAAGGUGGGGAUGACGUCAGGUCAUCAUGGCCCUUAUGGGUAGGGCUACACACGUCAUACAAUGGCCGGUACAGAGGGCUGCCAACCCGCGAGGGGGAGCUAAUCUCAGAAAACCGGUCGUAGUCCGGAUCGCAGUCUGCAACUCGACUGCGUGAAGUCGGAAUCGCUAGUAAUCGCGGAUCAGCUUGCCGCGGUGAAUACGUUCCCGGGUCUU
rnacentral:rRNA from 1 species